rnacentral:rRNA from 1 species
UACGAAGGGGGCUAGCGUUGCUCGGAAUCACUGGGCGUAAAGCGCACGUAGGCGGCUUUUUAAGUCAGGGGUGAAAUCCUGGAGCUCAACUCCAGAACUGCCCUUGAUACUGAGAGGCUUGAGUCCGGGAGAGGUGAGUGGAACUGCGAGUGUAGAGGUGAAAUUCGUAGAUAUUCGCAAGAACACCUGUGGCGAAGGCGGCCGACUGGGCCGACCCUGACGCUGAGGCGCGAAGGCGUGGGGAGCGAACGGG